CUUAAGACGCCCAGCAUCCCCUUAAAUCCUCUCAUCACUCUUCAGCAAUCGAAAUCAACGAAAACAUCACGAUGAGCUUUUCAGCGAUUCUACCUCUCCUUCUUCUUCUUCUUCUUCUUCUUCUUCAUCCAGGAUAUGCUCUGAUCUCAGUGACAUCGUUUGGACUCGGGGAACCCGGCACUUUGACGUGUCCGUUGCCUGAUUUUGAGUACAGCAACACUCGAGUGAAGUGGUACAAGCAGAGCGUCGGUGACACGCUUGUGCUGAUCACUUCUCUGAUGAAAGGGGCUGCAAAUUCCAAUUUUGAAAAAUCGUUUCCUUCGUACCGAUUUGAGGUGAACUUCACUGCGACCAUGUGCUCUCUGACCAUUCUGAAGACGGUGCCGGAGGACGAGGCGGUGUACCACUGUGCCAUCUCUACCUGGAACAAGGAUCAUUGGAGUGGGACGUAUUUGUCUAUAAAAGGUAAAGCAU